GUAAAUUAUGUGCCAGGAAAUGAAUUCCUUACAAUGUCUCUUGCCAGAAGCUAAAUCCUAGUACAUCUCAGACAGUACAGGAUACCACCUAUCUCAGCAUGUGCAAUGCUGUGGACAAAACCAGUAUCAUUUUCUUUGAAGAUAUUUUUUCCCAAAAAUGCAGCAUUUCUAGGACUUCUUGAGCUACAGUUUUCAUCUAAGGCCUCUGAAAUCACACAGCUCUCUGUCCCUGGAGUUACUUAAAGCAACCUGGGCAAGCUUCCAAAUGCUCAUAUAUGUGACCUUUACAAGUAUUCCACAAAACCAGCUCCCAAGUGAAAUAAAUCCAUGAACAUGUGUAGAGAAACUCAGCAGCGGCAUGGAGGCUAAAAGAUAAACUUCUAUCAACUCUGUUGAAUUGUGUCCCUACAAUCAGCUUAGAAGUUUAGUUUAGAGGAUUUUACUUUAACAUAUGUAAUUACAUAAAAUA